rnacentral:lncRNA from 1 species
UGCUAAUUCUGCCUAUCCCUCCCACUGUCAAAGAAUGCAACAAAGUUCUGUCAACACAGAAAGCAAAUACUAGGAGUAGUCCAGCCCGUUGACAGGAAGAUCAGGCCUUUUUUUUGGAGGGAGGGCUGGUUUCUGUCUGCUGGCGAACCUUCUAAAACUGAAAUCUUACAAGCAGCAGAUGCUGUCAGAACAGUUAUGAGACGUACAUGCACAUGUUUCUUCACUGAUUCGAUACUGUGAAAGUGAAAUGACAAGUCCCAAAAGAACCGUCGGAGUCUAACAGCAAAAGUCUUGUGCAACUUUGGAAGAACGAGCUUUUUCAGACUGAAAGGCAGCAAGAGCAGCCAGGGGAACAUUAUAGCAAGUUUUAAUGCAUUUGAAAACUUGCAGAAAGGCCUCAGAGUUUCUGUAAUGUAUGCCAGCUGCCAGAUAUCCCCAAGACACAGAUACUUGUGCAGAGCCUGGCAGAAGCUGGGGUAGCGCACUCUUACCCAGCCCACUGGCACAGUGACUUGGAGGAGGAACAACACAGUCUUCUGGAUCCCGGUUUUUCAAAACCUCACUCUUGGUUGUUCACAGCUGUGUAAAUUCUAUGUCAAAGGUUACAGUUACAACUUUUCUGGGGAAAUUGCCAUGGAGUUUGAGACCUCUUCAGGUUUGGCCUGUGCUGCUGAAGCUAACAGGACUGGGAAGCCUGGGUCUUGGUAUGUACAG